rnacentral:rRNA from 1 species
AAUGGGUCAGCGACUUAUAUUCUGUAGCAAGGUUAACCGAAUAGGGGAGCCGAAGGGAAACCGAGUCUUAACUGGGCGUUAAGUUGCAGGGUAUAGACCCGAAACCCGGUGAUCUAGCCAUGGGCAGGUUGAAGGUUGGGUAACACUAACUGGAGGACCGAACCGACUAAUGUUGAAAAAUUAGCGGAUGACUUGUGGCUGGGGGUGAAAGGCCAAUCAAACCGGGAGAUAGCUGGUUCUCCCCGAAAGCUAUUUAGGUAGCGCCUCGUGAAUUCAUCUCCGGGGGUAGAGCACUGUUUCGGCAAGGGGGUCAUCCCGACUUACCAACCCGAUGCAAACUGCGAAUACCGGAGAAUGUUAUCACGGGAGACACACGGCGGGUGCUAACGUCCGUCGUGAAGAGGGAAACAACCCAGACCGCCAGCUAAGGUCCCAAAGUCAUGGUUAAGUGGGAAACGAUGUGGGAAGGCCCAGACAGCCAGGAUGUUGGCUUAGAAGCAGCCAUCAUUUAAAGAAAGCGUAAUAGCUCACUGGUCGAGUCGGCCUGCGCGGAAGAUGUAACGGGGCUAAACCAUGCACCGAAGCUGCGGCAGCGACGCUUAUGCGUUGUUGGGUAGGGGAGCGUUCUGUAAGCCUGCGAAGGUGUGCUGUGAGGCAUGCUGGAGGUAUCAGAAGUGCGAAUGCUGACAUAAGUAACGAUAAAGCGGGUGAAAAGCCCGCUCGCCGGAAGACCAAGGGUUCCUGUCCAACGUUAAUCGGGGCAGGGUGAGUCGACCCCUAAGGCGAGGCCGAAAGGCGUAGUCGAUGGGAAACAGGUUAAUAUUCCUGUACUUGGUGUUACUGCGAAGGGGGGACGGAGAAGGCUAUGUUGGCCGGGCGACGGUUGUCCCGGUUUAAGCGUGUAGGCUGGUUUUCCAGGCAAAUCCGGAAAAUCAAGGCUGAGGCGUGAUGACGAGGCACUACGGUGCUGAAGCAACAAAUGCCCUGCUUCCAGGAAAAGCCUCUAAGCAUCAGGUAACAUCAAAUCGUACCCCAAACCGACACAGGUGGUCAGGUAGAGAAUACCAAGGCGCUUGAGAGAACUCGGGUGAAGGAACUAGGCAAAAUGGUGCCGUAACU